AUGGGAGUGCAGAAUCUGAAGCUCACUGCUGUGGAAAAGAAUUUUAAGGGAGUGAAUCUAGACUUUUCCUGGGAAGUUAAUGCCUGGCUGUGCCCCUGUGGUCCUAAUUUUAUACUUAACUUUUCCACCCUCUUCAGCCUCGUCUGUUUCAAUGGUGCAACUCUCUUCAUCCCCUUUUGGUUACCAGUCACCUUCAGGCCGUUCAGAAGAGGGAAGAGAGGGGAAUAUGAAGUCGGCCAAGUGCCAAGUGAACCACGCUCAGCACGGGGAAAGCCAGCGGGCCUUGAGCCCCCUGCAGUCUGCUCUCACUUCUGCUGCGUCUCCAUCCCAAGCAUAUGAGACGUAUAUUGAUAAUGGGCUCAUAUGCCUUAAACACAAAAUUAGAAACAUUGAGAAAAAGAAGCUCAAACUGGAAGAUUACAAGGAUCGCCUGAAAAGUGGAGAGCAGCUUAAUCCAGACCAGUUGGAAGCAGUAGAGAAAUAUGAGGAAGUGCUACAUAAUUUAGAAUUUGCCAAGGAGCUUCAGAAAACCUUUUCUGGACUGAGCCUAGACGUGAGUAUGUUUUCUUUGCUUUUCCUGAAACUGGUUGAAACCACUGCUCUUGAAGAAAACAGCUCAGAUCUAAUAAUUGUGUUUGGUUACCAUCCAUCUAAUUUCUGCUGA